AAUAAAGAGAAAGAGGGAGGGGAAAAAAAUAACCCCGGGGCACUGGUCGGGUGGGUAUAUGACGCAAUGCCCAGGUGGCCGCCUCGCACCAAGGCCAACGAGAGGGUAGGCUUUGCUCGCACACGCUCCCAAACUCUCGACAGGCAUGGACCGACGCGCCCUGCUGUUUGCUCUGCUGGUGUGCAGCGCCUUGCUGGUCACCACCGCCAAGGCCUCGCCGGUGCCUGAGCCUGAGCCUGAGCCCCGGCGCGGUUCCUACACAAGACCAAGACCCCGACCCCGACCCUACUUCCCGCCACGUGAGCAUAUUCGGGGUCACGGCGCACACUUCCUCGUGAUUCACGUUCCUCGCUCUUAGCUUUGACUCAUUUCCUUGGCUCUCAGGUCGGCGUUGUCAGACGCUUCCAUCCCUCACACCAACUAUUUCCAAAGGGCGUAAACGGGAGCAGUCGGAUUCCAAUGAGUGUUUUUUAAAGUUCAUGGUACAGAAUGAGGGUCAUAUUACCACCAGGGUCAUAAAACUACCCCUGGAAAUACCCCAAACUGACACGAAAGGCUUGUUAAACACGUGAGCCUCGGCGUCGAAACAUUUAAGAAUAUGAUCCUCAGCCCCGCGGGUGGUGCUCGUCCUCUGACGCUCUUC